CUUAGUACGAGAGGACCGGGAUGGACGUACCUCUGGUGUACCAGUUGUUCUGCCAAGGGCAUGGCUGGGUAGCUAUGUACGGAAUGGAUAAGCGCUGAAAGCAUCUAAGCGCGAAGCCAACUUCAAGAUAAGAUUUCCCACCGCAAGGGUAAGACCCCAGAAAGACUAUCUGGUUGAUAGGUCGAAGGUGUAAGUGCAGCAAUGUAUUUAGCUUAUCGAUACUAAUAGGUCGAGGACUUGACCAAU
rnacentral:rRNA from 1 species